UUCGCCCUUAGAGUUUGAUCCUGGCUCAGGAUGAACGCUGGCGGCGUGCUUAACACAUGCAAGUCGAACGGGGUACCCCCAAAGGAGUUUUCGGACAACUGCGGGGAAUACCUAGUGGCGGACGGGUGAGUAACGCGUGAGUAACCUGCCUUGGAGUGGGGAAUAACAGCUGGAAACAGCUGCUAAUACCGCAUAAUGCAGUUGGGUCGCAUGGCUCUGACUGCCAAAGAUUUAUCGCUCUGAGAUGGACUCGCGUCUGAUUAGCUAGUUGGUGGGGCAGCGGCCCACCAAGGCGACGAUCAGUAGCCGGACUGAGAGGUUGGCCGGCCACAUUGGGACUGAGACACGGCCCAGACUCCUACGGGAGGCAGCAGUGGGGAAUAUUGGGCAAUGGGCGCAAGCCUGACCCAGCAACGCCGCGUGAAGGAAGAAGGCUUUCGGGUUGUAAACUUCUUUUCUCAGGGACGAAGCAAGUGACGGUACCUGAGGAAUAAGCCACGGCUAACUACGUGCCAGCAGCCGCGGUAUUACGUAGGUGGCAAGCGUUAUCCGGAUUUACUGGGUGUAAAGGGCGUGUAGGCGGGAAAGCAAGUCAGAUGUGAAAACCAUGGGCUCAACCUGUGGCCUGCAUUUGAAACUGUUUUUCUUGAGUACUGGAGAGGCAGACGGAAUUCCUAGUGUAGCGGUGAAAUGCGUAGAUAUUAGGAGGAACACCAGUGGCGAAGGCGGUCUGCUGGACAGCAACUGACGCUGAGGCGCGAAAGCGUGGGGAGCAAACAGGAUUAGAUACCCUGGUAGUCCACGCUGUAAACGAUGGAUACUAGGUGUGGGGGGAAUGGACCCCCUCCGUGCCGCAGUUAACACAAUAAGUAUCCCCACCUGGGGAGUACGAUCGCANGGUUGAAACUCAAAGGAUUUGACGGGGGCCCGCACAAGCGGUGGAGUAUGUGGUUUAAUUCGAAGCAACGCGAAGAACCUUACCAGGGCUUGACAUCCCGGUGACCACUCUAGAGAUAGAGUUUUCCCUUCGGGGACACUGGUGACAGGUGGUGCAUGGUUGUCGUCAGCUCGUGUCGUGAGAUGUUGGGUUAAGUCCCGCAACGAGCGCAACCCUUAUUGUUAGUUGCUACGCAAGAGCACUCUAGCGAGACUGCCGUUGACAAAACGGAGGAAGGUGGGGACGACGUCAAAUCAUCAUGCCCCUUAUGUCCUGGGCCACACACGUACUACAAUGGUGGUUAACAGAGGGAAGCAAUACCGCGAGGUGGAGCAAAUCCCUAAAAGCCAUCCCAGUUCGGAUCGCAGGCUGCAACCCGCCUGCGUGAAGUUGGAAUCGCUAGUAAUCGCGGAUCAGCAUGCCGCGGUGAAUACGUUCCCGGGCCUUGCACUCACCGCCCGUCA
rnacentral:rRNA from 1 species